AAGAAAGUAAGAAAGGGCGUAUGGCGGAUGCCUAGGCUCACGGAGGCGAUGAAGGACGUGAUAAGCUGCGAUAAGCUUCGGGUAGGUGCAAAUAACCCUUGAUCCGAAGAUUUCCGAAUGGGACAACCUAGCCGUCUGAAGGACGGUUACUCUUACCAAUGUAAGAGAGCUAACGCAGGGAACUGAAACAUCUUAGUACCUGCAGGAAGAGAAAAUAAAUGAAUGAUUCCCCCAGUAGUGGCGAGCGAACGGGGAACAGCCCAAACCAGUGGCGUCGCAAGGCGUUGCUGGGGUUGUAGGACCGCGACAUUGUAUUGAAAUGGUGAGUGGAAGUAUCUGGAAAGUUACAUCACAGAAGGUGAUAAUCCUGUACACGAAGCCAAAUCAAGCAUAGCGGUAUCCUGAGUAACGCGGGACACGAGGAAUCCUGCGCGAAUCUGCCGGGACCAUCCGGUAAGGCUAAAUACUCCCGUGAGACCGAUAGCGAACGAGUACUGUGAAGGAAAGGUGAAAAGAACCCCGAGCAGGGGAGUGAAAUAGUUCCUGAAACCAUACGCCUACAAGCGGUCGGAGCAUCGUAAGAUGUGACGGCGUGCCUUUUGCAUAAUGAUCCUACGAGUUACCGUCACUGGCGAGGUUGAGUGUCAUGAGACACGUAGCCGCAGUGAAAGCGAGCCUGAAGAGGGCGCACAGUCAGUGGGGGUAGACGCGAAACCAAGUGAUCUACACUUGGCCAGGAUGAAGUCCCGGUAACACGGGAUGGAGGUCCGCACCAAUAAGCGUUGAAAAGCUUCUGGAUGAGCCGAGUGUAGGAGUGAAAGGCCAAUCAAACUUGGAGAUAGCUCGUACUCCCCGAAAGGCAUUUAGGUGCCGCGUCGGAUGGUCACCGUGAGAGGUAGAGCGACCGAUAGGACAAGAGGGCUUCACCGCCUAUCGAGUCCUGACGAACUCCGAAUGCUCACGGUCUGCAGUCCGGCAGUAAGGGGGCGGGUGCUAAGGUCCGUCCCCGAGAGGAGAAGAAUCCAGACCGCCGUCUAAGGUCCCGGAGUUCUGCCUGAGUUAGUCUAACGAAGUCUGGUCCCUAUGACAGCUAGGAUGUUGGCUUGGAAGCAGCCAUUCAUUCAAAGAGUGCGUAACAGCUCACUAGUCGAGGGUCCGGGCAUGGAUAAUAAUCGGGUAUAAGGCAGACACCGAAGGCGCGGGAUAGCAAUUUUAAAAGUAUCGGUAGGGGAGCAUACUCACAGCGUCGAAUGGUGUACGUAAGUUAUCCUGGAGCGGUGAGUAAAGCAAAUGUAGGAAUAAGUAACGAUAAGGAGGGUUAGAUUCCCUCCCGCUGUAAGACCAAGGUUUCCCGGGCAAUGCCAAUCAGCCCGGGGUCAGUCGGGUCCUAAGUCUAAGCCGAACGGCGAUGGCGAUGGCAGAGACGGUUAAUAUUCCGUCACUGCCGCAUGGGGCGACGUGGAGACGGAGCAGUGAAACCACCGCGGGGCGACGGAAGUCCCCGUUGAAGAGUGUAGGUGUUGAGGAUGGCAGGCAAAUCCACCAUCCGAGCUGAACUUGAUAGUACGGAGUCCUCCUCGGAGGAAUCUGAUAGUGUGGGUAAUCAUACUCCCGAGAAAAUCCGCUAAGCUUAACCCAUGCGGCACCCGUACCGCAAACGGACACACGUGGUCGGGUAGAACAUACUAAGGCGUUGAGAGAUUCAUGGUUAAGGAACUAGGCAAAUUGACCCUGUAACUUCGGGAUAAAGGGUCCUCGUGAUGAGCGAGGCGCAGAGAAUAGGUCCAGGCAACUGUUUAACAAAAACACAGGGCUGUGCAAACUCGAAAGAUGACGUAUACAGCCUGACACCUGCCCGGUGCCGGAAGGUUAAGAGGAGAUGUCACUAGCAAUAGGAAGCAUUGAAUUGAAGCCCCGGUAAACGGCGGCCGUAACUAUAACGGUCCUAAGGUAGCGAAAUUCCUUGUCGGGUAAGUUCCGACCUGCACGAAUGGUGUAAUGAUCCGGACGCUGUCUCAACCAUGAGCUCAGUGAAAUUGUAGUAUCGGUGAAGAUGCCGAUUACCCGCGAUGGGACGAAAAGACCCCGUGAACCUUUACUACAGCUUAGCAUUGACCUUGGUCAUCCGAUGUGUAGGAUAGGCCGGAGGCUUCGAAGCGGGAGCGCCAGCUUUCGUGGAGCCAUCCUUGAAAUACGGCCCUUUGGCUGUCUGAGGUCUAACGCGUGAUACGCGGACACUGCUUGGUGGGUAGUUUGACUGGGGUGGUCGCCUCCAAAAGCGUAACGGAGGCUUCCAAAGGUGCCCUCGGGUCGAUUGGUAACCGACCUCAAAGAGUGCAAUGGCAUAAGGGCGCUUGACUGGGAGGCAGACAUGCCGAGCAGGCAGGAAACUGGGGCAUAGUGAUCCGGCGGAUGUGUAUGGAAACUCCGUCGCUCAAAGGAUAAAAGGUACUCCGGGGAUAACAGGCUGAUCCCCCCCAAGAGCUCAUAUCGACGGGGUGGUUUGGCACCUCGAUGUCGGCUCGUCACAUCCUGGGGCUGGAGAAGGUCCCAAGGGUUGGGCUGUUCGCCCAUUAAAGUGGCACGCGAGCUGGGUUCAGAACGUCGUGAGACAGUUCGGUCUCUAUCUAUCGUGGGCGUGGGAGUUUUGAGUGGUGCCGUCACUAGUACGAGAGGACCGUGAUGGACAGACCUCCGGUUUACCAGUUGUGCCGCCAGGCGCACCGCUGGGUAUCUGAGUCUGGAUUGGAUAAGCGCUGAAAGCAUCUAAGUGCGAAGCCAGCCGCAAGAUGAGAACUCCAUUGAGGGUCGUCAAAGACGAUGACGUUGAUAGGAUGCAGGUGUAAAGACAGCGAUGUCAAAGCCGAGCAUUACUAAUUGCCCGAACACUUUCUUUA
rnacentral:rRNA from 1 species